rnacentral:rRNA from 1 species
AGUGGCGGACGGGUGGGUAACGCGUGGGCGAACCUGACCCUUGGAGGGGGACGAACAGCCGGAAACGGCUGCUAAUACCGCAUGAACCGGCAGGCCCGCAUGGGGGUGCCGGGAAAGGAGCGAUCCGCCCAGGGAUGGGCCCGCGUCUGAUUAGCCGGUUGGCGGGGUAACGGCCCACCAAAGCGAUGAUCAGUAGCCGGACUGAGAGGUUGAACGGCCACAUUGGGACUGAGACACGGCCCAAACUCCUACGGGAGGCAGCAGUGGGGAAUAUUGCACAAUGGAGGGGAACUCUGAUGCCAGCGACGCCGCGUGAGUGACGAAGUGUUUCGGCAUGUAAAGCUCUAUCAGCAGGGAAGAAGACGACGGUACCUGACUAAGAAGCCCCGGCUAACUACGUGCCAGCCGCCGC